rnacentral:rRNA from 1 species
GCAAGUCGAACGGUAACAGCGGGAGCUUGCUCCUGGCUGACGAGUGGCGGACGGGUGAGUAACGCGUAGGAAUCUGCCCAUUAGUGGGGGACAACCCGGGGAAACUCGGGCUAAUACCGCAUACGCCCUACGGGGGAAAGAGGGGGACCUUUCGGGGCCUCUUGCUAUUGGAUGAGCUUGCGUAGGAUUAGCUUGUUGGUGAGGUAAGAGCUCACCAAGGCGACGAUCCUUAGCUGGUCUGAGAGGAUGAUC